rnacentral:lncRNA from 1 species
AUGGUCCCGCAAAUAGAAAACUGGUGUGUUCCCUUGUCAACAAGCUGUGCUUACUCACUCGUUCCACUCUGUGCCCCCAGGACGACCUUACUGACAAGAAGAGGGAAUAAAACUUCCAUCCUCCCGGGGAUCUCGAUGUGCAGAAGCCUAAUUGCAGAGGGCCAGAACGUCGAGCGCCAACUGAAAGGAAACCCCGGGGAUUUUUUGACAGCUCAGAAAGCUGUUUCGGGUUGCUGCUCAAGCCUCUCCUGCUCCAGGUGGUCAACGGCGCCUUGGAAGGCAAAGUAACGGAAGGGUAGUUUGGAACCGCUCCUCUUCAACGGCAGGACCCCGCCUAGGUUGUCUGUCUGCACGGUAAGCCCUCUCUAGACCCUAAGCACGUUACGGGCAGGGAACGUGCCUGCUAAUUCUGUCGUCCUCCUCCAAGUCCUUAGCACAGGAAUAAUGAUAGCAAUAACAAUAGCAUCUCUUAAGCGCUAACUGUUCUAAGCACUGGGGUGGGUACAAGUGAAUCAGGUUGGACCCAGUCCCUGUCCCACAUGGACCUCACAGUCUUAAUCCCCAUUUUGCAGAUGAGGUAACUGAGGCCCAGGGAAGUGAAGCGACUUGUCCAAGGUCGCACAACAUCCCGGGAUGAGAGGCCGGGUCCUUCCGACUCCCAGGCCCGUGCUCUAUCCACUGGGCCACGCAUCGUCCCUCGUCACGGGCAGGGAACGGGUCUGCCCGUCUGUUCUGUCAUACCGUCCCAAGUGCUUAGUGCAGUGUCCCUCACAGAGGAAGCGCCCAAUAAAUACGGUUGAUUGAUUUGGCCUGUACUCUGGCGCAGCGCCCCCGGCAGCCAUGCGGCAGAGCUGCAGAAAACCGACCUUGGCCCAGGGCCUCGUGGUGAGGUUAGUGGCUCUCGGGGCCAACCUAGUGGGGUUUUGGGGUCCCCAGAGCCAACAGGGAGGCUGUGGCUUCUCAUCUGGGGGUGUGGGGCUGGGCAGGAGCCCCUCAGCCCCCGUCAGGCCCGCCUCAGCUUGGUCCCGGUCCUGGGAUUGACCCUGUCCCGGCCACUACCGUGGAGAGAGGACGUAGCUGAAGCUUUCAUCAUAAUCGCCUCUGAAGUCAGACCACUGCUACGUCCCAGGGCGCCUGGCGUUUGUACUUUCCCUUCUUCUUUUACAGGGCUCGGAAACGUACUUGCUAAAUGCUUCCACGGACCAAGUCUUCGAUCCUGGCCAGCUGGAGGGGCAAAGCGACAGGGAUCUGCCAGCGGUGCUGGAAAUCUGAUUUUCAUAAAAGAGUAAGUCACUCCUGUUGUCGGCUCGGAGGAGGAACGGGAAAAGA